AAACCCUAAUCUAAACUUGAAACCCGCCUCUUUCUCUCACCUCCUCUCUUUCUCUCACGGUUGUUCUCUUUCUCUGCCUCCCCCUCCACCUCCCCCUCUCCCCCACUUUUUUUCUUGUUAAAAAUCAACAUCAACGCAUCAACACAACAACAUCAGCGCAUCAAGCCUUCAAUUUUGGAUCGAUUAUAAGGAAUUUGCUCCAGUUUAGAUUUCCAGAUCUAGUAUUAUGGUGAAUAACUCGAGAGAACAAAGUAAUUGAAGUAAGAAGCUAGGGAGCAUGAGCAGCGUCGGAAGUUACAGAUUUCCGUCUUUCUGGUCCAGUUUGUUUGAAUUAGUAAUUUGGUGAUUUUUAAAUUUUCAGAUCUAGUCUCUAUUAGAAAUUUUGGUAUGUAAUUAUUUGAAUUUUUAUUUUUGUAGUUGGGUUGGAUUUA